UCACAUGGGCAGUUGGUUUGGAAUGUCCUGGCUUCUGACUGUUGGGAGUUGAGCAGCGUACUGGUCCCUCAGAGUGGGCCCUUCGCACAGAGAAUCCUCGCUGCAGGGCGCCCUCUCGAGUGCACACAUUUCCCAGCGCCUUCCUGCAGGAAUCUGAACAACAGCAACGACAAGAUGACUCAGUUGUCCCUCACGGCUUUGUGGCCAUUGGCCCCAGAACUGCAGCACACCACCACGGUCAGCAAGAUCCACAGGUGCGGCGCAUGCCUACAGACAUCAUUGAUGAAAUAGCUGACCCUUGUGGGGAUUGCUCCUUGGAGAGGGACACGCAGGCCAGCCCUGCGGAGCCCAGCAGCAUCAGAUGGACUCUGGCAAGACCAGGGCUAAGCCUCCAGCAUCACCUGCUACAACCUGCACCACUGAAGUCGGUGUGGGAACAGUGUUAAGGUGACUGAAGAAUGAUGACUGUGGCCUGUUCAGCACACAUCUUAAGAGAUGCAUUCUACGGGGAUAUUUAAUUCAUAUCUUUUUUAUUGAUAUAGAACUCACAAUCCUUUCCAUCCUGUAUUUAACAUAUACAGUUCGCUGGGCUUAGUUCAUUUAGGUUUUCCAGUCAUGCAAUUUCGGUACAUUCCUCACCAU